rnacentral:lncRNA from 1 species
GGCAUUCUCGGGUGUAGAAGGCGGGAUGGUUAAGAUCAUCUUUCUUCCAGAGGCCAUCGAGGGCACCAAGCUGGUCACAGUCAGAGAACACACUACAGUGGGGAAUAGGCAUGAUCCCCUCCUGUCAGUCAUCAGCUCUCCAUGCCAGUCCUGAAAAGAUGCCUGAAAACCCACAUCUAAUUACGCCACUCUCCGUGUACAAUGUGCCAGCCUUACCAUUUCUGUGCGGCCUCAGAAAGCAAAUAUGAAGCAGGAAGUAAUGAAACCCACCAUGGACCACCUUUAACAACCAGAGCUUAACUUUACCUUCCAUCAGAAAUGACCUCUAACUACCAACACCUUGAGAGAACCACACAGAAAAACUGCAAGCCAUGUUACAAGAAGAUAAUUAUUUUCAAAUAGCUACCCAGGAGAAUAAAGGGAAGAAAACUAA